UUUAACUUUUCUGAAAGUUUUAAGGAAUCUCAGUCGUACUUUAUGCCGACUCAUCGUCAUCGCAUGUUCGAUUUGGUCAAACGAUCACACUAUGAAUCUUUAUGACACCAUACGACUGAACUUUGAUGAUUGAACUACAGAACAUUUAUUUGGUGUUUCAGGAUAUUUUUCUGUGUUAUUUAAGAAGAAAACAUCCAGGAAUAUCUGCCAAUUUAAAGCUGCACUGAUACCAUUAAGACCAAUAUAUUACUAUAAAUUCUAUAUAGUUAUAGUUUUAUUGAACAUGUAAUUAACAUUUUAUCAGUGGUUAGGUAGAUAAAUAUACGAUAUAUUAAUCUUGUAAAUGAUCAUAUACCAUUAUAAUGUAUCUGAGAAAUAGUGAAUUGCAUAAGAGCAUACACACUGGCUGAACUGAAGUUUUGUACUGUUGUUUAAAUUUUGGUCAAUUACAAAGACAGACAUGAGCUAAUUAAAUGAUAAGAUAAUUUAUUACAUACCUUUGGUAUACAAAUAAAUCUUAGUUGGACUAAAAAACAACUUUGACCAUGACGAAUGGCAUCUAUGCUGUGUGUUGUAGCAAUAGUUGGUAGUUGAGUAAUGUAUUCUUGCAGUAAAUCUCAUAGACCAAAUUUCCACUAUUUAUUUUAUUUUAAUAGAAUCCUUCUGCUGUAGUUUUUUACUAGAAAUAAAUAUAAACUGUAUGGCGGAACUGUCCUGAGAAUUAAAAGCAAUGAUCUUUAAUUUUGUCAAUUGUCUUGAAAACCUAUGCUCAUAUUUUAUUUUCCUUGUAGACUCAAACAAUACUCAACAUUGCUCAAUUAAUGAUUGUAUAUGCUUUAUCUGUAAUAGUAGUUUGUUCCUACAGAUUCAAUAAAACAUAAAAAAUGAUUAAAUAUGAUAAUUCAAAGUGGAAGUGGUAUAUGGAAAACACAAUUUACAAGUACUUCUUGCAAACUUUACAUAACAUCAGCUGUGGUUUCAAACAUUAAUUAAUGUCAAAUACUGGAAAAAAAUAUAAAGGAAAAGGAGGAGGACGAACAUUUUGUUCUGUUGUUAACUGUUCAAACAGCAAGCAUUCACAUCCACAUCUAAGUUUUUUCAGAUUUCCAAGAGAUCCCAAAAGAUCAAAGGAAUGGGUGAUUCUCAGCAGAAGAGAGGAUCUUAUGAACAAGGAUGCAAACUACCUUUACAAAAAUUGUCGAUUAUGUACUGAUCAUUUUGAAGAUACGAUGUUUGCAAAUGAUUUGAAAAAUCGAUUAAAGACUGAUGCAAAACCCACUCUAUUUAGCAUUCCAAAUGCACCCCCCACUGUAGGCACAAAACGGAGAACAAUUAAAAGAGUGGACCAAUCACAUAUACAAGGUAAACACCAAACCUAGUUUCAAGAUGAAAUUAGACAAAUUUUAACAAAUUAUUUUACAGCCAAAAAAUCUAAAAUGGAUAAAGAUCAGGAAAAAAGGAAAGAUGGUAUGAGAAGUUCUAUGGUAUGAUUUCAUUGUUGAGUCCAAAAAUACAUGGGAAACUAUUUCAGUUCUAAUUCUUGACCAUUAGUAUUGGUGAGAUGUAAUUAUAGCUAAAGUUAUUCAUUUUGCAUUUUAUUUUCCAUCUCAAGCUUUUGGUCACCACUUUGAAUUAGUUAUUACCCUUAAGUUUAUGUUUAGAGCCACCAGAUACACAUUCACCAUUGCACGAAGUUGAUGAAAGUGGGCCUAAUACAGAAAGACAAACUUCAGAUUUUUCUUGCCAAACAAGUGCUAUACUAUCCAAUAAUACACCUAGAAAAGAAAAACAACAAAAGUUAAUAAAAGCCCAGGCAAGGAAAAUAAGUCGUUUUACGCAUGCAAACAAAAAUCCAUCAACACAUAAAAAUUUGGAAAAA